CGAACCUUCCCAAUCGUGGGGGAUAACCUGCCGAAAGGCGGGCUAAGACCGCAUGUGAUCCCGUGACUCCGGUCGCGGGAUGAAAGCCGGCCUCUAUACAUAAGCCGGCGCGAUUGGCGGGGCCCGCGUCCCAUCAGCUAGUUGGCGAGGUAACGGCUCACCAAGGCGACGACGGGUAGCUGGUCUGAGAGGAUGGCCAGCCACACUGGAACUGAGACACGGUCCAG
rnacentral:rRNA from 1 species